rnacentral:lncRNA from 1 species
UAGCAGGAAAAGUAUGUUAAGAAUAUGCAAUGCUGAUGAGCUCAGAACCACAAUGUUUUUUCACACAGGUCCAGCGUCAGGACAUACUCAGGACAUCUCCCAGAAGCUCCAAAACAAAUUGCCUUUGGACUUUGAGACCAUGAAACCAGAGGAACCAAAUACAGUCCCUCACAGAAAGAGCCAGGAGUGUCUGAGGCAGCUCGAUGAAGCUCUAGGACUUGCUGGUGCUUUUUGGAUUUCCUGGUGGGCCAUUCGGAGUGGGAGAGAAGGAAAUAUCCUGCACCACUGCUCGCCCUUCGAAUAUUCUUGAAAAUACCUGCCAUGGAACAUUGUGUCCCUGUUUGCUCUUCACACUGACAGUGGCCAGAGCUCAAGUUACAAGUAUAUCAAGUUGCCUCUAAGAACACCAAAGAAUAAAACUGUGAUGCUUCCAAGUGAAGCUGGACUU